rnacentral:rRNA from 1 species
GAUGAACGCUGGCGGCGUGCCUAAUACAUGCAAGUCGAGCGAACGGACGAGAAGCUUGCUUCUCUGAUGUUAGCGGCGGACGGGUGAGUAACACGUGGAUAACCUACCUAUAAGACUGGGAUAACUUCGGGAAACCGGAGCUAAUACCGGAUAAUAUUUUGAACCGCAUGGUUCAAAAGUGAAAGACGGUCUUGCUGUCACUUAUAGAUGGAUCCGCGCUGCAUUAGCUAGUUGGUAAGGUAACGGCUUACCAAGGCAACGAUGCAUAGCCGACCUGAGAGAGUGAUCGGCCACACUGGAGCUGAGACACGGUCCAGACUCCUACGGGAGGCAGCAGUAGGGAAUCUUACGCAAUGGGCGAAAGCCUGACGGAGCAACGCCGCGUGAGUGAUGAAGGUCUUCGGAUCGUAAAACUCUGUUAUUAGGGAAGAACAUAUGUGUAAGUAACUGUGCACAUCUUGACGGUACCUAAUCAGAAAGCCACGGCUAACUACGUG